CCUACGGGCGGCAGCAGUGGGGCAUUUUGCGCAAUGCUCGUAAUAGUGACGCAGCGACGCCGCGUGAAUGACGAAGGCCUUCGGGUCGUAAAGUUCUUUCGACAGGGAAGAAAAUGCCUAUAAGUAACUGUGUAUGUAUUGACGGUACCUGUAUAAGCAGCCCCGGCUAACUCCGUGCCAGCAGCCGCGGUAAUACGGAGGGGGCGAGCGUUGUUCGGAGUGACUUGGCGUAAAGAGAACGUAGGAGGUGUUGUCAGUCAUUAGUCAAAGACUAGAGCUCAACUUUAGGAAGGCUAGGGAUACUAUAAUACUAGAGUAUCAGAGAGGAUUGCAGAAGUCCUGGGGUA
rnacentral:rRNA from 1 species